UGUGUAGAGACAAGAAAUGUGUCGUGUUCUCUUUCUCUCGGUAAAUUUCUCGCCUCUCACAAU
rnacentral:pre_miRNA from 1 species